UGCAUAUCAAUAAGCGGAGGAAAAGAAACCAACUGGGAUUGCCUCAGUAACGGCGAGUGAAGCGGCAGAAGCUCAAAUUUGAAAUCUGGCCCCUCUGGGGGUCCGAGUUGUAAUUUGCAGAGGACACUUCGGGUGCGGCUGCGGUCUAAGUCCCCUGGAACGGGGCGUCGUAGAGGGUGAGAAUCCCGUCUGGGACCGUGGACCUGCCCCGUGUGAAGUUCCUUCGACGAGUCGAGUUGUUUGGGAAUGCAGCUCUAAGUGGGUGGUAAAUUUCAUCUAAAGCUAAAUACUGGCGGGAGACCGAUAGCGCACAAGUAGAGUGAUCGAAAGGUUAAAAGCACCUUGAAAAGGGAGUUAAACAGCACGUGAAAUUGUUGAAAGGGAAGCGCUGGCAGCCAGACAGGAACCCGGGGGCUCAGCGGGCAUGMGUGCCCGUGCACUCCCCCGCGGUUCCGGCCAGCAUCAGUUUUGGCGGCCGGUCAAAGGCCCCGGGAAGGUAUCGUCCUCCGGGACGACUUACAGCCCGGGGUGCAAUGCGGCCAGUCGGGACUGAGGAACGCGCUCCGCACCGGAUGCUGGCGUAAUGGCUGUCAGCGGCCCGUCUUGAAACACGGACCAA
rnacentral:rRNA from 1 species